rnacentral:rRNA from 1 species
CUUUAGGAUAGGACUGCGGCCUAUCAGCCUGUUGUUGGGAUAAAAGCCCAACAAAGCUAUGACGGGUACGGGUCAUGAGAGUGAUUGCCCGGAGAUGGAUUCUGAGACAUGAAUCCAGGCCCUACGGGGCGCAGCAGGCGCGAAAACUUCUCAAUGGGCGUAAGCCUGAAGAGGGAAUCCUGAGUGAUAUUGGUUUAACUGAUAUCUUUUCUCGAAUGUAAACAGUUUGAGGAAUAAGUGGUGGGCAAGACGGUUGCCAGCCGCCGCGGUAAU